AAUUGGCAUAAAUGAGAACAUAAGGAAAAAUACACUUUAUUAUAAACAUGCAAUCAUUUUAACUUCUAAGUUAGAACAGUGACAUUCUUUAAAGUGCUCUAAAGUAGGAGCUGGGAGGGAUUAUAAUCACUUUGCUUAAUGUGCUGAGCGAAAUAGAUAAAUUAUGUUCAGUUUUUGUGUUUCAGGCCAGGAGGUUUGGGGAAGAGAUCAAAUGAAAAUAAAGAACAUCAUGUGCAAUGGAAUAGGAAAUUCUUUAAUUCUAGUUGUGAUCUCAUUGGUGGUGGAAGAACUGACAGUAACUGCUGCUUGGGGAGUACUCAUCUUACAAUCUGCUAAGUUCUACGGAAAAAAAAUGUCACUAGCAGAAUAGUCCAAUGAGUACAACAGAAGAACUAAAACCAAAAAAUCAUCCGUUGGCUGAAAGAAUAGAAGUACACGUGAAUACUUCUUGUACUAGUGAGUAUUGUAGAAGAUAAUAAAGAGUUACAUUUCAGAGAGUCUUUAGCA
rnacentral:lncRNA from 1 species